rnacentral:tRNA from 1 species
GCCUGCGUGGCUUAGUCGGUUGAGCAUCUGACUUCAGCUCAGGUCACGAUCUCAUGGUUCAUGGGUUCAAGGCCCACAUCGGGCU